AGAGUUUGAUCAUGGCUCAGAACGUACGCUGGCGGCACGCCUAAUACAUGCAAGUCGAACGAAGUAGCAAUACUUAGUGGCAGACGGGUGAGUAACAUGUGGGUAUCUUCCCUUUGGUGAGGAAUAACACGAGGAAACUUGUGCUAAUACCUCAUAAGUCUUUACGGAGAAAGCUUUAUGCGCCAUUGGAUGAGCCCGCACUUGAUUAGUUUGUUGGUGGGGUAAUGGCCUACCAAGACAAUGAUCAAUAGCUGAUUUGAGAGGAUGAUCAGCCACAUUGGGACUGAGACACGGCCCAAACUUCUACGGAAGGCAGCAGUAGGGAAUCUUGCACAAUGGAGGAAACUCUGAUGCAGCGAUGCCGCGUGAGUGAAGAAGGCCUUUGGGUUGUAAAGCUCUUUCGUCGGGGAAGAAAAUGACUGUACCCGAAUAAGAAGGUCCGGCUAACUUCGUGCCAGCAGCCGCGGUAAUACGAAGGGACCUAGCGUAGUUCGGAAUUACUGGGCUUAAAGAGUUCGUAGGUGGUUAAAAAAGUUGGUGGUGAAAUCCCAGAGCUUAACUCUGGAACUGCCAUCAAAACUUUUUAGCUAGAGUAUGAUAGAGGAAAGCAGAAUUUCUAGUGUAGAGGUGAAAUUCGUAGAUAUUAGAAAGAAUACCAAUUGCGAAGGCAGCUUUCUGGAUCAUUACUGACACUGAGGAACGAAAGCAUGGGUAGCGAAGAGGAUUAGAUACCCUCGUAGUCCAUGCCGUAAACGAUGUGUGCUAGACGUUGGAAAUUUAUUUUCAGUGUCGCAGCGAAAGCAUUAAGCACACCGCCUGGGGAGUACGACCGCAAGGUUAAAACUCAAAUGAAUUGACGGGGACCCGCACAAGCAGUGGAGCAUGUGGUUUAAUUCGAAGAUACGCGCAGAACCUUACCAACACUUGACAUGUUCGUCGCGACUUUAAGAGAUUAAAGUCUUCGGUUCGGCCGGACGAAACACAGGUGCUGCAUGGCUGUCGUCAGCUCGUGUCGUGAGAUGUUGGGUUAAGUCCCGCAACGAGCGCAACCCUUACUUUUAGUUGCCACCAUUUAGUUGAGCACUCUGAAAGAACUGCCAGUGAUAAGCUGGAGGAAGGUGGGGAUGACGUCAAGUCCUCAUGGCCCUUACGUGUUGGGCUACACACGUGCUACAAUGGCACUCACAAUAGGAAGCAAAGAGGUGACUCUAAGCAAAUCCUAAAAAAGUGCCUCAGUUCGGAUUGUACUCUGCAACUCGAGUACAUGAAGCUGGAAUUGCUAGUAAUCGCGGAUCAGCGCGCCGCGGUGAAUACGUUCCCGGGUCUUGUACACACCGCCCGUCACACCAUGGAAGUUGGUUCUACCUUAAGGCAAAGCAUAAAACCUUUGACCACGGUAUAGUCAGCGACUGGGGUGAAGUCGUAACAAGGUAGCC
rnacentral:rRNA from 1 species